UAAAAAUGAAUAGAUUCAAAACUUGAUUCAGAGAUGUGUAAUCAUGAAGGAGACUCAAUAAACAAUAAUAAGGGAAUAGAAAGCAACAAGGAAAGCAACAAAACCGUAUUGGAAAUUUCCCCUGAAUGUAUUAGGGACAUGCAACUUCAGUCUCCCACUUUUGAUACUUAGCAAGCUUUCACUUGGAAUUGAGUUGACUUUGAGCCAAGGCACAUGAACGCU
rnacentral:lncRNA from 1 species